UACGAAGGGGGCUAGCGUUGCUCGGAAUUACUGGGCGUAAAGCGCACGUAGGCGGCUUGUUAAGUCAGGGGUGAAAUCCUGGAGCUCAACUCCAGAACUGCCUUUGAUACUGGCGAGCUUGAGUUCGGGAGAGGUGAGUGGAACUGCGAGUGUAGAGGUGAAAUUCGUAGAUAUUCGCAAGAACACCAGUGGCGAAGGCGGCUCACUGGCCCGAUACUGACGCUGAUGCACGAAAGCGUGGGGAGCAAACAGG
rnacentral:rRNA from 1 species